rnacentral:ncRNA from 1 species
AGAAUGUUAUCACGGGAGACACACGGCGGGUGCUAACGUCCGUCGUGAAGAGGGAAACAACCCAGACCGCCAGCUAAGGUCCCAAAGUCAUGGUUAAGUGGGAAACGAUGUGGGAAGGCCCAGACAGCCAGGAUGUUGGCUUAGAAGCAGCCAUCAUUUAAAGAAAGCGUAAUAGCUCACUGGUCGAGUCGGCCUGCGCGGAAGAUGUAACGGGGCUAAACCAUGCACCGAAGCUGCGGCAGCGACGCUUAUGCGUUGUUGGGUAGGGGAGCGUUCUGUAAGCCUGCGAAGGUGUGCUGUGAGGCAUGCUGGAGGUAUCAGAAGUGCGAAUGCUGACAUAAGUAACGAUAAAGCGGGUGAAAAGCCCGCUCGCCGGAAGACCAAGGGUUCCUGUCCAACGUUAAUCGGGGCAGGGUGAGUCGACCCCUAAGGCGAGGCCGAAAGGCGUAGUCGAUGGGAAACAGGUUAAUAUUCCUGUACUUGGUGUUACUGCGAAGGGGGGACGGAGAAGGCUAUGUUGGCCGGGCGACGGUUGUCCCGGUUUAAGCGUGUAGGCUGGUUUUCCAGGCAAAUCCGGAAAAUCAAGGCUGAGGCGUGAUGACGAGGCACUACGGUGCUGAAGCAACAAAUGCCCUGCUUCCAGGAAAAGCCUCUAAGCAUCAGGUAACAUCAAAUCGUACCCCAAACCGACACAGGUGGUCAGGUAGAGAAUACCAAG